GUCCACGCCGUAAACGAUGAGUGCUAGGUGCUGCGGGUAUUGACCCCUGCGGUGCCGUAGCUAACGCGUUAAGCACUCCGCCUGGGGAGUACGGCCGCAAGGCUAAAACUCAAAGGAAUUGACGGGGCCCGCACAAGCGGUGGAGCAUGUGGUUCAAUUCGACGCAACGCGCAGAACCUUACCUGGGUUAAAUCCACUCGAACCUUGCAGAGAUGUGGGGGUGCUCUUCGGAGAGCUAGUGAGAAGGUGCUGCAUGGCUGUCGU
rnacentral:rRNA from 1 species